GUGGGGAAUAUUGGGCAAUGGGGGAAACCCUGACCCAGCAACGCCGCGUGAAGGAAGAAGGUUUUCGGAUCGUAAACUUCUAUCCUUGGUGAAGAUAAUGACGGUAGCCAAGAAGGAAGCCCCGGCUAACUACGUGCCAGCAGCCGCGGUAAUACGUAGGGGGCAAGCGUUGUCCGGAAUGAUUGGGCGUAAAGGGCGCGUAGGCGGCCCGGUAAGUCUGAAGUGAAAGUCCUGCUUUUAAGGUGGGAAUUGCUUUGGAUACUGUCGGGCUUGAGUGCAGGAGAGGUAAGCGGAAUUCCCGGUGUAGCGGUGAAAUGCGUAGAGAUCGGGAGGAACACCAGUGGCGAAGGCGGCUUACUGGACUGUAACUGACGCUGAGGCGCGAAAGUGUGGGGAGCAAACAGGAUUAGAAACCCGGGUAGUCC
rnacentral:rRNA from 1 species